rnacentral:rRNA from 1 species
AGAGUUUGAUCCUGGCUCAGGNNNNAUGCUGGCGGCGUGCUUAACACAUGCAAGUCGAACGAGAGGAGAAGAGAAGCUUGCUUCUUUUCAAAUCGAGUGGCAAACGGGUGAGUAACACGUAAACAACCUGCCUUCAGGAUGGGGACAACAGACGGAAACGACUGCUAAUACCGAAUACGCUCAGAGAGCCGCAUGGUUUUCUGAGGAAAGGGUGGCCUCUACCUGUAAGCUAUCGCCUGAAGAGGGGUUUGCGUCUGAUUAGGCAGUUGGUGAGGUAACGGCCCACCAAACCUACGAUCAGUAGCCGGUCUGAGAGGAUGAACGGCCACACUGGAACUGAGACACGGUCCAGACUCCUACGGGAGGCAGCAGUGGGGAAUCUUCCGCAAUGGGCGAAAGCCUGACGGAGCAACGCCGCGUGAGUGAUGACGGCCUUCGGGUUGUAAAGCUCUGUGAUCGGGGGACGAACGGUUCGUGGGACAAUACCCCAUNNAAGUGACGGUACCCGAAUA